rnacentral:rRNA from 1 species
AUGAACGCUAGCUACAGGCUUAACACAUGCAAGUCGAGGGGAAACGACAUCGAAAGCUUGCUUUUGAUGGGUGUCGACCGGCGCACGGGUGAGUAACGCGUAUCCAACCUGCCCACCACUUGGGGAUAACCUUGCGAAAGUAAGACUAAUACCCAAUGAUAUCUCUAGAAGGCAUCUGAAAGAGAUUAAAGAUUUAUCGGUGAUGGAUGGGGAUGCGUCUGAUUAGCUUGUUGGCGGGGUAACGGCCCACCAAGGCAACGAUCAGUAGGGGUUCUGAGAGGAAGGUCCCCCACAUUGGAACUGAGACACGGUCCAAACUCCUACGGGAGGCAGCAGUGAGGAAUAUUGGUCAAUGGGCGAGAGCCUGAACCAGCCAAGUAGCGUGCAGGAUGACGGCCCUAUGGGUUGUAAACUGCUUUUAUAAGGGAAUAAAGUGAGUCUCGUGAGACUUUUUGCAUGUACCUUAUGAAUAAGGACCGGCUAAUUCCGUGCCAGCAGCCGCGGUAAUACGGAAGGUCCGGGCGUUAUCCGGAUUUAUUGGGUUUAAAGGGAGCGUAGGCCGGAGAUUAAGCGUGUUGUGAAAUGUAGACGCUCAACGUCUGCACUGCAGCGCGAACUGGUUUCCUUGAGUACGCACAAAGUGGGCGGAAUUCGUGGUGUAGCGGUGAAAUGCUUAGAUAUCACGAAGAACUCCGAUUGCGAAGGCAGCUCACUGGAGCGCAACUGACGCUGAAGCUCGAAAGUGCGGGUAUCGAACAGGAUUAGAUACCCUGGUAGUCCGCACGGUAAACGAUGGAUGCCCGCUGUUGGUCUGAAUAGGUCAGCGGCCAAGCGAAAGCAUUAAGCAUCCCACCUGGGGAGUACGCCGGCAACGGUGAAACUCAAAGGAAUUGACGGGGGCCCGCACAAGCGGUGGAGCAUGUGGUUUAAUUCGAAGCAACGCGAAGAACCUUACCAGGUCUUGACAUCGAUCUAAAAGGGAUGGAGACAUCCUCAUAGCUAUAGAGGAGACAGGUGGUGCAUGGUUGUCGUCAGCUCGUGCCGUGAGGUGUCGGCUUAAGUGCCAUAACGAGCGCAACCCCUCUCCUUAGUUGCCAUCAGGUCAUGCUGGGCACUCUGGGGACACUGCCACCGUAAGGUGUGAGGAAGGUGGGGAUGACGUCAAAUCAGCACGGCCCUUACGUCCGGGGCUACACACGUGUUACAAUGGCAGGUACAGAGAGACGGUCCCUUGCAAAAUGGAUCAAAUCCUUAAAGCCUGUCUCAGUUCGGACUGGGGUCUGCAACCCGACCCCACGAAGCUGGAUUCGCUAGUAAUCGCGCAUCAGCCAUGGCGCGGUGAAUACGUUCCCGGGCCUUGUACACACCGCCCGUCAAGCCAUGAAAGCCGGGGGCGCCUAAAGUCCGUGACCGUAAGGAGCGGCCUAGGGCGAAACUGGUAAUUGGGGCU